rnacentral:tRNA from 1 species
AAUUAAAUAUUAUACAUUAUAGAUUAGAAAAGUUUACUUUAAAAAAUUAACUAAACUAAA